UCUAACUCUACAGCCCACCUCGCUGUCUCUCUCUCUCCCUGUCUCUCAAUGUUAGCCAGGUAUCUGUGUUCAUUAUGCUCCCCACAGUAAUAUUGAAGGGGACUCUCAUCAAGAAAGCUUAACAGAAGCGAAGGACGUCGCCCUGCAAUUACAAGGAAAGAUUAUUUGUCUUGGACACCCAGGACCUGAUUUAUUCUGAACAGUGCCCUGGGGCAUGUACAAUAUUUAUUGAUAAAUUGUGUGGUUUGUUUGUUUAAUAAUUGCUGGCAAGAAUUACAUUUAGUUGAAAUUAUUUUACAUUUUACACUUCAGCAGUGUAAUUUUUUUAAUCAGAUAUUGAGUUAUGAAGGAAUAUGACUUUUACAUGACAGUUGCUUUAUUCAGGUUGUAUUGUUUGAUGUGCAAAUGGAAAGUUGUGAAGCCAGAAAGGUUGCAUUGAGCUCUCCAGGAUCAAGUGUGUGGAGAUAGUGUGCAGUGAAGUCCCAAUCCCCUACAGCAACAAGUACCCCUUCCAGCGGCGGCUCUCUGACCCGGGACAGAGGGUGAUGUGGUGGUAGCGCUACAAAACUACAGUCCCCAUAAAGACACAGACCUGCCCCUUCACAAAGACCAGGAGUACAUCCUGACUGACAGUUCCCACCAUAACUGGUGGACGGUACAGGACCACAGAGGAAACUCAGGUUUUGUACCUUGCAUGUACUGUAUAUAGCGGAGAAUUCCUGCAACAACUUCAACAGGUUUGAAUGAUACAACAAAGACAUAACGAGAGGGAGAGCUAAGGAACUUCUGAUGACAGAGAUCCAACGGGCAGAAGAACCCGCGGGUGAAGCGCUACCAGAUCAGACAGUCAGAGGCAGAGGAGACGUCCACGUUUUACCUUGUUGAGAAAUACCUGUUCAGCACCAUUCCUGAGCUCAUCCAGUACCACCAACACAACGCUGCAGGUAUUUACGUUAUCAGUGGCUCACCUGAGCUACGUAAUACAUCUGUUUACAGCCAGGCCAGUGUGACCUAUUUGGACAUUCACCACAAAACUGUGUUUGUUAGUCCGUUGAGAUAUAGGCAUCUUCAGGGGUCAUGUAAGGUUUCACCAGCACACGUGGAUCUCCCACAGUAGAGAGGGAGAUGGGAGAGGAGCGGUAAUGUAGUUUGAAAUGGUUCUAUACGUUCUAUGGCCCCGAUGUUCUUCCCUUAGUAUAGCGUGGAAUCGUUUCCUUGCAUCAACAUUCUACAGAGGAAACUGCCUGUAAAACAAUAGUUCAUGAGUUCUAUUGUUGAGGCAGAAUAGCCUAAUCCCUCUACAUUAUCUAACUCCCAGUAUAUGCAAAUAUAGUUUCAUCUUGACAUUCAACCUGUGUGUGUGUGUGUGUGUGUGUGUGUGUGUGUGUGUGUGUGUGUGUGUGUGUGUGUGUGUGUGUGUGUGUGUGUGUGUGUGUGUGUGUGUGUGUGUGUGUGUGUGUGUGUGUGUGUGGGUGGGUUUGUGCAUAUGUGUAUUCUCUGCAGGUCUGAUCACACAACUCUCAGCAGGUCAGAGGUUAACCUGCUGCUUCUGUCUCCAGGCAGCCAGCAGCAAUUUUGUUUGGUUAUUGAUUAUGGAAGGUAUCAUAGAGAUAGUUAGAGGACUCAUUUUUGCAUCUGUGCCAUUAUAGUGUCUGUUACAGCAUGGGCAGAUGAGUCCUCUAACAAUCUCUAUGGAAGUUUCCUAAUCCUGAAUUACAUGACAAUUCAAAGAUCAAACACAAAGCAGAUAACACACCAGACGCUUAUAUGUUAUAGAUAAGUUACUGUGUAAUAAAGAUAUGCUUAAACAACGCAUAUGCAUGAUCGUGAGAAUUGGCAUGUGUUUUGCUAUUCUAAAAGCAUUAGGACUGUGAUGACAUAAGUAGUGAUGUAAGGUAGACUUGUGUGAUGAGGUACCCAGGUGUAGCAGCCCCAGCUGUUACCAAUAGGCAGGCAGCUCCACCACACCCUGAAAACGUCCAGACAGGAGGGACUACCUGGAGGAGAAUGUGGCAGGCAACCACAGUGUACCAUGUUGUGUUCAGCCUUGUUGUAUUUUCCAAUAAUUGCAUUAGUAUGUCAUUAUUACCUCUGCACUCUCUAUCCCCCUUCCCCUCUUUCCUUCCUCCCU